rnacentral:rRNA from 1 species
GGGGUGCUAUACAUGCAAGUCGAGCGGACAGAUGGGAGCUUGCUCCCUGAUGUUAGCGGCGGACGGGUGAGUAACACGUGGGUAACCUGCCUGUAAGACUGGGAUAACUCCGGGAAACCGGGGCUAAUACCGGAUGGUUGUUUGAACCGCAUGGUUCAGACAUAAAAGGUGGCUUCGGCUACCACUUACAGAUGGACCCGCGGCGCAUUAGCUAGUUGGUGAGGUAACGGCUCACCAAGGCGACGAUGCGUAGCCGACCUGAGAGGGUGAUCGGCCACACUGGGACUGAGACACGGCCCAGACUCCUACGGGAGGCAGCAGUAGGGAAUCUUCCGCAAUGGACGAAAGUCUGACGGAGCAACGCCGCGUGAGUGAUGAAGGUUUUCGGAUCGUAAAGCUCUGUUGUUAGGGAAGAACAAGUGCCGUUCAAAUAGGGCGGCACCUUGACGGUACCUAACCAGAAAGCCACGGCUAACUACGUGCCAGCAGCCGCGGUAAUACGUAGGUGGCAAGCGUUGUCCGGAAUUAUUGGGCGUAAAGGGCUCGCAGGCGGUUUCUUAAGUCUGAUGUGAAAGCCCCCGGCUCAACCGGGGAGGGUCAUUGGAAACUGGGGAACUUGAGUGCAGAAGAGGAGAGUGGAAUUCCACGUGUAGCGGUGAAAUGCGUAGAGAUGUGGAGGAACACCAGUGGCGAAGGCGACUCUCUGGUCUGUAACUGACGCUGAGGAGCGAAA